rnacentral:rRNA from 1 species
AUUGAACGCUGGCGGCAGGCUUAACACAUGCAAGUCGAGCGAGCGGCGGACGGGCGAGUAAUGUCUGGGAAACUGCCUGAUGGAGGGGGAUAACUACUGGAACCGGUAGCUAAUACCGCAUACCAUCAGAUGUGCCCAGAUGGGAUUAGCUAGUAGGUGGGGUAAUGGCUCACCUAGGCGACGAUCCCUAGCUGGUCUGAGAGGAGGACCAGCCACGAGGGAACGGGGACACGGUCCAGACGCCUACGGGAGGCAGCAGUGGGGAAGAUUGCACAAAGGGCGAAAGCCUGAUGCAGCCAGGCCGCGUGUAUGAAGAAGGCCUUCGGGUUGGAAAGUACUUUCAGCGGGGAGGCGUUACCCGAAGAAGAAGCACCGGCUAACUCCGUGCCAGCAGCCGCGGUAAUUC